rnacentral:piRNA from 1 species
UGCAACAAUCUCCAUUUGCCUGAUUUCGU